rnacentral:lncRNA from 1 species
UGUUCUUUGAUUACUGGGUUUUACUUUUUUAGUAUGUUCUUUUUCUUUUAUUAAUCAAGCCAUAAAAAAAGGUGAGGGGAUCAGAUUCAUAUAUUGUCGAUGAAUUUCUUUAAGGAGGAUUUUGAUGAUGUUUGUGUUGGGUUUACUUACGCAAAAGCUCAAGGGAAAGUUUAGUUAUUUUUACUUUUAUUGAUGUCCAUCUCUAAAUACCAAUCACCAUUUCUUCUUUUUCUUCUUCGAUCUCGAACACAACCUCCUCGUCUCCGACCACCAUCACCAUGCCACCCGACCCACCAAAGUUAUGAUUCAGUAUUUCGGAUUUGACGCACGUACCUAUUUUAUUAAUGGUCGGUACUUGUUAGUAAUUAUAGAUACACAUUGUUUGUUUUGUCAUUAAUUUCUCUUAGUGCUGAAUUUUGUGAUUGAGUUUGUACCUUGAAUCCGUUUGAGGUAUCGAUUUUCGUUGAUGUCGAUACCCGUUAUCAAUUGCAGGUACAUAUAAAUAGCAUUAUUUUUUUCAUGCAAUACCUGAGAGUGAUUCGAGGUACUAAUUUUUGUGUAUUAUGAAUAUACAGGUACAUAGUUUGGUGUUGUGGUAUCGAGUUACACUUCAGAUCUGGAAAUUUCAAGAAGAAAGAGACUCAGAAAAAAUAAGAGAUAAAAAUAACUGUAAUAUUUUUAUUACAUGAUUUAAAUAAUAAAAUAAUAAUUUUUAAAAUUACCUAAAAUUCCAAUUAUUCUAAACCAUUAAAU